GAUGAACGCUGGCGGCGUGCUUAACACAUGCAAGUCGAACGAAGCACUUUAUUUGAUUUCCUUCGGGACUGAUUAUUUUGUGACUGAGUGUAGGACGGGUGAGUAACGCGUGGGUAACCUGCCUUGUACAGGGGGAUAACAGUUGGAAACGGCUGCUAAUACCGCAUAAGCGCACAGCAUCGCAUGAUGCAGUGUGAAAAACUCCGGUGGUAUAAGAUGGACCCGCGUUGGAUUAGCUAGUUGGUGAGGUAACGGCCCACCAAGGCGACGAUCCAUAGCCGGGCUGAGAGGGUGACCGGCCACAUUGGUGCUGAGACACGGCCCAAACUCCUACGGGAGGCAGCAGUGGGGAAUAUUGCACAAUGGGCGAAAGCCUGAUGCAGCGACGCCGCGUGAGCGAAGAAGUAUUUCGGUAUGUAAAGCUCUAUCAGCAGGGAAGAUAAUGACGGUACCUAACUAAGAAGCACCGGCUAAGUACGUG
rnacentral:rRNA from 1 species